CCGCGUACCUACAAUAAGGAAGGGAAUAAAUUCCAGUACAGCAGGUUAGUAUCUUCUAUGUUUCAGUUAAAGCAACCAGAAGACCUGUAAAUCAUAAUGAUCCCAAGCUUACCAUCAUAAGGAACAAAAUUAGCAAGAGCAAUGAAUAGAAAUAAUGCUUGCUUGCCAAUUCCAAGGGGGAUAAGAUACUAUCCCAAUGUAUUAUGAAUUGACAAAGAAGGUUACCAUAUAACACCAGGAAGAGAACCCUUCAAAUAUAGAAGUUGCAUUGGAUAAGACUAGACAAUAUAUUCUGACUUCUCAAUGAGGAAUAAGGAAUACAAUACAAGCUGAAUAACACAGAUUGCUCUCCGGUGCCAUAUUAAGAAAUAAUGAGAAUCUAUUGAAUACAACCAGUCAAUAUGUCCUGACUUCUUGAUUAGCAAUAAGAAAUAUGAUGCCUCCAUGGUAAAAUCUUGUGGUAUAAUGUUUGCACGAUAAAUAAGACAAGUCAGUAUACUCUGUCUUCUUGAUGACAAUAAGCAAAAUAAUAGAAUCUGAAUAAUAUAGAUUUGUUGCCAGCACCAUAAUACAGGAGAAUGUCAAUGAAUAUACCAUCAGCAAGAACAAUUGGUUUCUUCAUGAAAUAACUCCCGCAAAACAAUGCAUACUUUCUCUGGUAGAAAUCGCUUGAAAAGGAUAUUCAAGAAGACAUAAUAGAUAAUGAGCUCCAGCAGGAUAUAGACUACUGAAUGCACUAGAGAUAAGACUUGAGAACUCUGACAAUGUUGCUUGCUAUGUCCAUAUAAUCACAGGCUAUAAAUUUCCAACGAGGCUAAUAUCAAUCCUUCACCAAAUUUUUUGCCAUUUUGGAGAUAAAGUAUAGUAUGAUGAACAAGAAUAAAGAUCCUGAGACAAAAAAAAAAAAAAUAUAAUACUGGAACCAGCUCUAAGAUUAACGAAUGAGCAAUAUCAAUUCUGAAGGAAGCCAAUAGUAGCUGACAUUAACGAAACACAUUCUCCAGAUGCCAUUUUGAUGCAUCUCCAAAUCACUAGCUGAUACUGCUGAUCAAAUGAAACAAAAAUCUGCUGAAAGACAUUUUGAUUACGUCUCCAAUUCACUCAUGAAUAAAAUCCAAAUCGAAGAAUUCUCCUCAUUUGUAUUCCCUACUUCACAUUUACCGCACUGCUUUUUCUCUGAAUUCAUGCACAAUCAUUUGGAAAACAAGUAUUCAUCAUAAAUUGUCACUCAUAACAAUAAUAAACUAAAACAUUUUCAAAAAAACAAACAAAUUAAGAUUAAAUUAAAAGUAAAAUUUAAUACUCACAUUCACAAAAUAAUCUAUCAACAACUAUGCUCACACCACCCAACCAAACAUUUUUUUUUAAAUGAAUAAUAC